CUGGCGGCGUGCCUAACACAUGCAAGUCGAGCGGAGACUUCAAGUAGCAAUAUGAGGAUGUUUUAGCGGCGGACGGGUGAGUAACGCGUGAGUAACCUGUCCCAAACUGGGGGAUAACGAGCCGAAAGGCUCACUAAUACCGCAUAAGACCACGAGGUCACAUGGCUUUGAGGUCAAAGGAGCAAUCCGGUUUGGGGUGGACUCGCGUCUGAUUAGCUAGUUGGUGGGGUAACGGCCUACCAAGGCGACGAUCAGUAGCCGACCUGAGAGGGUGAUCGGCCACAUUGGAACUGAGACACGGUCCAAACUCCUACGGGAGGCAGCAGUGGGGAAUAUUGGGCAAUGGAGGAAACUCUGACCCAGCAACGCCGCGUGAAGGAAGAAGGUUUUCGGAUCGUAAACUUCUAUCCUUGGUGAAGAUAAUGACGGUAGCCAAGAAGGAAGCCCCGGCUAACUACGUGCCAGCAGCCGCGGUAAUACGUAGGGGGCAAGCGUUGUCCGGAAUGAUUGGGCGUAAAGGGCGCGUAGGCGGCCUGGUAAGUCUGGAGUGAAAGUCCUGCUUUUAAGGUGGGAAUUGCUUUGGAUACUGUCGGGCUUGAGUGCAGGAGAGGUAAGUGGAAUUCCCGGUGUAGCGGUGAAAUGCGUAGAGAUCGGGAGGAACACCAGUGGCGAAGGCGACUUACUGGACUGUAACUGACGCUGAGGCGCGAAAGUGUGGGGAGCAAACAGGAUUAGAUACCCUGGUAGUCCACACUGUAAACGAUGAAUGCUAGGUGUAGGGGGUAUCGACCCCUUCUGUGCCGGAGUUAACACAAUAAGCAUUCCGCCUGGGGAGUACGGCCGCAAGGUUGAAACUCAAAGGAAUUGACGGGGGCCCGCACAAGCAGCGGAGCAUGUGGUUUAAUUCGAAGCAACGCGAAGAACCUUACCAGGUCUUGACAUCCAGUAAAAUCUGUAGAGAUACAGUGUGCCUUCGGGCGUACUGAGACAGGUGGUGCAUGGUUGUCGUCAGUCGUUCGGAGAG
rnacentral:rRNA from 1 species